UUUAGAAGACAACCGCAAGAUAGUUUUCGAUUCACCGAUGAGUUCCAGUUUACGCAUGCCACACAGAAUAAGGACCACGAUGCAUGAGCUGGUAUAGCCCGCGACGAUACAAUUGUAUAUAGAAGACGAGUUCUUCGAGAUCGUUUAGAAGGACACAAUGCAACUGCAGAUGACUUCCCACGUAGAGUAGGAUCUAUAGACGUAUUAGAUUCUAAUCAUAUACUGGAUU
rnacentral:lncRNA from 1 species